CGAGUGGUUUCUGCUAAAGAAAUCUUUUGCUAGUCCUAGAAACACUAGUGAAUAAGGGGUGGGCAAGUUCUGGUGUCAGCCGCCGCGGUAAAACCAGCACCUCAAGUGGUCAGGAUGAUUAUUGGGCCUAAAGCAUCCGUAGCCGGCUGUAUUAGUUUUCGGUUAAAUCCAUGCGCUCAACGUAUGGGCUGCCGGGAAUACUGUACAGCUAGGGAGUGGGAGAGGUAGACGGUACUCGGUAGGAAGGGGUAAAAUCCUUUGAUCUAUUGAUGACCACCUGUGGCGAAGGCGGUCUACUAGAACACGUCCGACGGUGAGGGAUGAAAGCUGGGGGAGCAAACCGGAUUAGAUACCCGGGUAGUCCCAGCUGUAAACUAUGCAAACUCAGUGAUGCAUUGGCUUGUGGCCAAUGCAGUGCUGCAGGGAAGCCGUUAAGUUUGCCGCCUGGGAAGUACGUACGCAAGUAUGAAACUUAAAGGAAUUGGCGGGGGAGCACCACAAGGGGUGAAGCCUGCGGUUCAAUUGGAUUCAACGCCGGAA
rnacentral:rRNA from 1 species